rnacentral:rRNA from 1 species
UCCGGCCGCCNUGGCCGCGGGAUUUUCCGGUUGAUCCUGCCAGAGGUCACUGCUAUCGGGGUUCGAUUAAGCCAUGCGAGUCGAGAGGGUUCGGCCCUCGGCGUACUGCUCAGUAACACGUGGAUAACCUGCCCUAGGGGAGGGGAUAACCCCGGGAAACUGGGGAUAAUACCCUAUAGGUUACAGAUGCUGGAAUGCCCUGUAACCAAAAGCUCCGGCGCCCUAGGAUGGAUCUGCGGCCGAUUAGGUUGUUGUUGGGGUAACGGCCCAACAAGCCCGUAAUCGGUACGGGUUGUGGGAGCAAGAGCCCGGAGUUGGAUUCUGAGACACGAAUCCAGGCCCUACGGGGCGCAGCAGGCGCGAAACCUUUACAAUGCGGGCAACCGUGAUAAGGGAACCUCGAGUGCCUGUAAACGCAGGCUGUUCAGGUGUUUAAAACGCACCUGGAGAAAGGGCCGGGCAAGACCGGUGCCAGCCGCCGCGGUAAUACCGGCGGCUCGAGUGGUGGCCGCUUUUAUUGGGCUUAAAGCGUUCGUAGCUGGGUUGUUAAGUCUCUUGGGAAAUCUGGCGGCUUAAUCGUCAGGCGUCUAAAGGGAUACUGGCAAUCUUGGAACCGGGAGAGGUGAGGGGUACUUCGGGGGUAGGGGUGAAAUCCUGUAAUCCUCGAGGG